rnacentral:lncRNA from 1 species
AUGAGUGAUUGUGAGGAGACAAACUUCUUUUGGGAGUCUUGGACUUUGACACCUAGAAAAGGAAAAAGAAAAAAGGACUCCAAAAAAGACAAAAAAAGGCUAAAAUGCAAAAACAACAUUAACAUGAAAACAGAUGAUAACAUCCAGAACAAAAAGAAAAAGAAAAACUCAAAAUUCAUAUUCGAAGAAGCAAUGGAGAGAAGGAAAGAAAAGAAAAAAGAAAAGAAGAAAAAGAAAAACAGAUUGGCCUUGGAAUUUGAAGACAGUUUAUUAUUAACACAGGGCAGUAGUGCUAAAGCAAAACCUACUGUGAAACCUGAACCAUUGAAUCCACACAGUAGUGAGAAGCUCAAAUCUGACCGGGACUGCAAGAAGAAAAGAAAAAGAAAAAAGAAAGUGGCGUUUGACUUAACACCACGCUACAUCUGUGUCAAACGUCCCAAAUCUGUCUCUUUGUCUGAGCAGUCUACCAAAGAGAGCAGUGAGAGCUGUUCACAGGCUACAGUGACAGGGCACAGCCAGGCUCAAACACCUGCCAAUGAAUCUCAAUGCACCAGUGAGGAUGUAAACAGCCAGGACCUGUUCAUUACCCAGAAGACAUUCAGAACAUCGCCCUCGGAACUUUCCAGUGGUGAAACCAGUGACAAAGCUGUUACUGCAAGUCCUCAAAUGUUUACACCUAGAGACAAGCUGCAUACAUCUAUGCCAUGGAUAAAACAGCAUCUUGAAGGAUCAUACAAAUGUCCUCAAGACUCACAUUUGCAUCAGCAUUACAGAAAGACAAACAUGUAUGUGCAGAAGCCAAAAACAGUAGAGGUACUUCUCACAGAAGAAGAAGAAGAAGAAGAAGAAGAAGAAGAAGAAGAAGAAGAAGAAGAAGAGGAAGUGGAAGUGGAAGUGGAAGAAGACUGGUUAAACAAAGCAUUUCAGAAUCCCAAGAAUGUAAAAUUGUCUUUUCAGACACAGAUGAAGUUAAACGCAAACCCUACUGAGGAAAAAAAAGUAUCACGCCCUGCACAUAUAACGCCCAGUGUGGUGAAUGCAUACCUGGGUGAGCCAAUUGACGUAAACCCCUUCCUGGAUGUUGCAAAGUCAAAUAAACAUUCCUCUAAUUCAAGCCAGCAGUUUCCUUCAUGUCUGUCAGAGGAGCUAUCAGUGCCUCCCCCGAGGUUCAUGGGAAGCACUUCAACACAGACUGAAAACUUCUUCACCACUGAAUUCUCCUCCUACCUUAACUUCUGCCAAAAAAGUGGAAUGACUGUACAUCAUGAGGACUUGGAACCUUUGGACCUGAGCCUGCCGCAGAGGGCCAGAGAAGGCCUGGGGAUGUGUUUGUCAGUAAAAACAAUGUCUUCACCAGGAGAGAUCAAAAGCAACAACCACAAAGAGCCCAACCUGCAUCCAUCUUGUUCUUCAGACAUGAAAGAUGAAGUGGUAAAGAAAAAACCUUCUGGUCUACAUCCUUGGUCUAUAAGCACCCAUGGUAAAGGUGAAACAACUCUGAGCCCCCAGUCUGCAGACAUGACAACCUCCAGCGAGGACGAGCCCCCUUGCCGCACUGGCAAGCUAGACCUGAACCAGGUGAUACUGAAUGAUAUUCUACCCACUUUUCACUGCAGUUAUCCAUGGUCCACGCAGCCACCAAAUAUACCUUUUGUUUUUAAUGCAUCUUAA